rnacentral:rRNA from 1 species
UACGUAGGGUGCAAGCGUUAAUCGGAAUUACUGGGCGUAAAGCGUGCGCAGGCGGUUGUGCAAGACAGAUGUGAAAUCCCCGGGCUUAACCCUGGGAACUGCAUUUGUGACUGCACGGCUAGAGUACGGCAGAGGGGGAUGGAAUUCCGCGUGUAGCAGUGAAAUGCGUAGAUAUGCGGAGGAACACCGAAUGGCGAAGGCAGUCCCUGGGCCUGUCACGUGACGCUCAUG